rnacentral:rRNA from 1 species
AGAGUUUGAUCCAUGGCUCAGAGUGAACGCUGGCGGCAGGCCUAACACAUGCAAGUCGAACGGCAGCACAGCAGUAGCAAUACUGUGGGUGGCGAGUGGCGGACGGGUGAGGAAUACAUCGGAAUCUACCUUGUCGUGGGGGAUAACGUAGGGAAACUUACGCUAAUACCGCAUACGACCUACGGGUGAAAGCGGAGGACCGCAAGGCUUCGCGCGAUAAGAUGAGCCGAUGUCGGAUUAGCUAGUUGGCGGGGUAAUGGCCCACCAAGGCGACGAUCCGUAGCUGGUCUGAGAGGAUGAUCAGCCACACUGGAACUGAGACACGGUCCAGACUCCUACGGGAGGCAGCAGUGGGGAAUAUUGGACAAUGGGCGCAAGCCUGAUCCAGCCAUGCCGCGUGGGUGAAGAAGGCCUUCGGGUUGUAAAGCCCUUUUGUCCGGAAAGAAAAGCAUCGGGCUAAUA